CGCCGCGUGAGUGAAGAAGUAUUUCGGUAUGUAAAGCUCUAUCAGCAGGGAAGAAAAUGACGGUACCUGACUAAGAAGCCCCGGCUAACUACGUGCCAGCAGCCGCGGUAAUACGUAGGGGGCAAGCGUUAUCCGGAUUUACUGGGUGUAAAGGGAGCGUAGACGGCGAAGCAAGUCUGAAGUGAAAACCCAGGGCUCAACCCUGGGACUGCUUUGGAAACUGUUUUGCUGGAGUGUCGGAGAGGUAAGUGGAAUUCCUAGUGUAGCGGUGAAAUGCGUAGAUAUUAGGAGGAACACCAGUGGCGAAGGCGGCUUACUGGACGAUAACUGACGUUGAGGCUCGAAAGCGUGGGGAGCAAACAGGAUUAGAUACCCUGGUAGUCCACGCCGU
rnacentral:rRNA from 1 species